rnacentral:rRNA from 1 species
UACAGAGACUGCGAGCGUUAUUCGGAUUCACUGGGCGUAAAGGGUGCGCAGGUGGCCAAGUGUGUUAGGCGUGAAAGCCCGGGGCUUAACCCCGGAAUUGCACCUAAAACUACCUGGCUAGAGCAUUGGAGAGGGGAGCAGAAUUCAUGGUGUAGCAGUGAAAUGCGUAGAUAUCAUGAGGAAUACCAGAGGCGAAGGCGGCUCCCUGGACAAUUGCUGACACUCAGGCACGAAAGCGUGGGGAGCAAACAGG